CCUAUAUUAACAUACAGUGCUGCGCUUUAGACUCUACAAAGCUUUACAAGUUCUUUCCUUGCUUCUUUACCUUUGGACUUCUCGAUCAGCAGAAGGACAUUGUUUUGUCAGCAGGGAUUCUCGUUCAACUGGCUAGGCUAUUGUUCUUUGGUUAACCGGCACUCAGUAUCCUAGGACUCAGAGCAGGCUUUCAUUUCUACUUUGAUUCUAGCCUUCAUAUUUUCAGAAUCUUCUGACAAACAAUCACAUUCAUAAGGUUUCCCUGUUUCACCCUCCCCAACAGAGUUGCUUCCCUCAGUUUCAACUACUUUCGUCCUCAUCAUCCCCAUUUUUUCUAGGUACGCUUUGGAGGGACUAGGAGGAUGAAAUCAAAAGGAAAAAAGGAGAAAGAUCCCCCCUGCAAAUCCAGUUCCCCCCUGCAAAUCCAUGCACCGGUUCAUCUGCUCGGCUGCUGCUGCUUGACAGAGGUUCAAAGCAGAAGUAACUUCCUAGCGAAGAACCAUGGAAACUCAUCAGCUGCAGAGACGAGCAGACGGCCCAAAGAGCAGAAGAGCGAGCACACCGAUGUGAACCGUAUCGAGACCGCAGUUGACGGCCGAACGCCUUUGAUCCCGCGCGCGAGAGCGAUGAACUUUGGGUUUCGUGUGAAAGAGUAGGAAAAUCGAUAUUGUAAAGCCUCAUUUGUUAAAGCGUGGUGUGAACUGUGUCAAGAUUCAGAAUCCUGCAUGAGAGAUAAAGUCCUUGAAGAUGAAGGUGAAUCAGGUAUCACCCUUGAGCUGUAUCAUUUUGUUGAUCGCUUUGUGAUGCAAUUUCACCUGCAUCGCUUCUUUUAGUUAACUCAAAAGAAAGUGUACCUUAUCUCAGUGAAAAUAGAUUUUUGUAUAAUAUUCAAUUUUUCUUUUUAUUUAGCAUGUUCUAUAUAAAGAGGCAACAUCUUAGUGUAACCUUA